UCCCUUGUGGCUCAACAGGUUAAGAAUCCAGCAUUGUCACUGCUGUGGUGUGGGUUCAAUCCCUGGCAAGGGAA
rnacentral:tRNA from 1 species